rnacentral:lncRNA from 1 species
GAUGAACAUGAUCCAUUUCUGAUACCGUCUUCUAAACAGAGAAACGUUGUGUUUAAUGGUAAAGCUUAGCACACCCCAGCACCAGGAAUGGCGCGGAGUUGCAGCUGCAGGGACAGGCAGGUGACCCUCACGGAGCCUCACAUGGCGAACAGGAUGAAGAAGGAGAUCAUCAAACAGAAGAGCCCCAUGGCCUCAGACAGGGCAAAGCCCAGAAUGGCAUAGAAGAGGAGUUGCUGCUUGAGAGACAGCUUCCUGGCAUAGACAAUAAUCAAGCUGCCAAACACCGCUCCAAUGCCAGCCCCUGAAUCAGCCACACCAACUGUGGCUGACCCAGCACCAAUAAACUUGGCGGCUGUGUCAGUGUCCCGGGAGACAACACUGGUCUGGAACUCCCGUCUGGCCACCUGGAGUGGGGAGCUGCUGUAGGAAGGCUGUUUAGAUGAAUUCUCUGGGCUAUUCAAGGAGAAGGCAGACACAGGCCUGAUUAGACCCCUGGUACAACAGCAGAUCAGAGCUGGAGAAAUGAGUAAUACCCCGGUGGUCUGCAUUUUUUCAGUCUCCCAGCUUUAGCCCUUGGUCUCAGCACUCAGCUUCCCCCACCCGGAAAAUCAACCUUUAAAGUUACAAAACACUUGUUUUUUUAUUUUUGUUUUCUUUAACAGGGCCAUUUUUUUUCCCCCUCUCUGGAGAUGGAGGUCUCCCUAUGAUGCCCAGACUGGACUUGAACUUCUGGGCUCAAGUGAUCUUCCUGCCUCAGCCUUCUAAGGAGCUGGGACUACAGGCAUACUGCCCUGCCCAAAAGACAUGUUUUAUGUACUUUGCUUUUACUUGAAGCUUUAUAAAAUAUUAGCUGAAAGAUUUCUUCUUCAAACACAUGUACUUUCUAUAUAUGGAAUAUACUGGUGAUACGUUAGCAGAGAUACCUACUCAUUUACGAGGUGAUAUCCCAAUUCGGUUCAUAGACAGAUCCUCCCCCCUUUCUUCCCUCCCUCCCUUGCUCCCUUCCUUCCUCUCUUCCUUUCUCUUUCCCCCUUUCUUCUUCCUCUUUUUUAACUUUCCCAUCCUCAGACAGUUUCAGACUUUUUUUUUUGAGACAGGGUCU